GACGAACGCUGGCGGCGUGCUUAACACAUGCAAGUCGAACGGAAAGGCCCUGCUUUUGUGGGGUGCUCGAGUUGCGAACGGGUGAGUAACACGUGAGUAACCUGCCCUUGACUUUGGGAUAACUUCAGGAAACUUGGGCUAAUACCGGAUAGGAUCUCCUGCUUCAUGGUGGGGGUUGGAAAGUUUCGGCGGUUGGGGGUGGACUCGCGGCUUAUCAGCUUGUUGGUGGGGUAGUGGCUUACCAAGGCUUUGACGGGUAGCCGGCCUGAGCGGGUGACAGGCCACAUUGGGACUGAGAUACGGCACAGACUCCUACGGGAGGCAGCAGUGGGGAAUAUUGCACAAUGGGCGGAAGCAUGAUGCAGCAACGCCGCGUGCGGGAUGACGGCAUUCGGGUUGUAAACCGCUUUCGCCUGUGACGAAGCGUGAGUGACGGUAAUGGGUAAAGAAGCACCGGCUAACUACGUG
rnacentral:rRNA from 1 species